GGUCCUAUGGUCUAGCGGUGAGAACAUUGGACUCUAACUUCAUUAACCCGAGUUCAAAUCUCGGUAGGACUU
rnacentral:tRNA from 1 species